GAUGAACGCUGGCGGCGUGCCUAAUACAUGCAAGUCGAGCGAACAGACGAGGAGCUUGCUCCUCUGACGUUAGCGGCGGACGGGUGAGUAACACGUGGAUAACCUACCUAUAAGACUGGGAUAACUUCGGGAAACAGGAGCUACUACCGGCUAAUAUAUUGAACCGCAUGGUUCAAUAGUGAAAGACGGUUUUGCUGUCACUUAUAGCUGGAUCCGCGCCGCAUUAGCUAGUUGGUAAGGUAACGGCUUACCAAGGCAACGAUGCGUAGCCGACCUGAGAGGGUGAUCGGCCACACUGGAACUGAGACACGGUCCAGACUCCUACGGGAGGCAGCAGUAGGGAAUCUUCCGCAAUGGGCGAAAGCCUGACGGAGCAACGCCGCGUGAGUGAUGAAGGUCUUCGGAUCGUAAAACUCUGUUAUUAGGGAAGAACAAAUGUGUAAGUAACUAUGCACGUCUUGACGGUACCUAAUCAGAAAGCCACGGCUAACUUCGUG
rnacentral:rRNA from 1 species